GGGGGCAGAGCUCAGUGGUAGAGCAUGUGCUUAGCAUGCACAAGGUCCCCGGUUCAAUCCCCAGUACCUCCA
rnacentral:tRNA from 1 species